GAUGAACGCUGGCGGCGUGCCUAAUACAUGCAAGUCGAGCGAACGGACGAGAAGCUUGCUUCUCUGAUGUUAGCGGCGGACGGGUGAGUAACACGUGGAUAACCUACCUAUAAGACUGGGAUAACUUCGGGAAACCGGAGCUAAUACCGGAUAAUAUUUUGAACCGCAUGGUUCAAAAGUGAAAGACGGUCUUGCUGUCACUUAUAGAUGGAUCCGCGCUGCAUUAGCUAGUUGGUAAGGUAACGGCUUACCAAGGCAACGAUGCAUAGCCGACCUGAGAGGGUGAUCGGCACACUGGAACUGAGACACGGUCCAGACUCCUACGGGAGGCAGCAGUAGGGAAUCUUCCGCAAUGGGCGAAAGCCUGACGGAGCAACGCCGCGUGAGUGAUGAAGGUCUUCGGAUCGUAAAACUCUGUUAUUAGGGAAGAACAUAUGUGUAAGUAACUGUGCACAUCUUGACGGUACCUAAUCAGAAAGCCACGGCUAACUACGUGCCAGCAGCCGCGGUAAUACGUAGGUGGCAAGCGUUAUCCGGAAUUAUUGGGCGUAAAGCGCGCGUAGGCGGUUUUUUAAGUCUGAUGUGAAAGCCCACGGCUCAACCGUGGAGGGUCAUUGGAAACUGGAAAACUUGAGUGCAGAAGAGGAAAGUGGAAUUCCAUGUGUAGCGGUGAAAUGCGCAGAGAUAUGGAGGAACACCAGUGGCGAAGGCGACUUUCUGGUCUGUAACUGACGCUGAUGUGCGAAAGCGUGGGGAUCAAACAGGAUUAGAUACCCUGGUAGUCCACGCCGUAAACGAUGAGUGCUAAGUGUUAGGGGGUUUCCGCCCCUUAGUGCUGCAGCUAACGCAUUAAGCACUCCGCCUGGGGAGUACGACCGCAAGGUGA
rnacentral:rRNA from 1 species